AUUCCUUGUUGUAAAAACCGCAACCAUUAUAGUGCAUUUGCUUCCUGGGUUGGAAGGACACUGGAUGUAGGCAUUGUUGGCCGAACCAGUAUAAAAAUCAAUGUUUGAUUUUCUCUAUCCCUGCACUCUUUAAUUCCAGUCAACUUUAUCUUUUACGCAGUCAACUACGUUUUUCCGCUGCAUAUAAAUUUUCAUUACUUGCAUUUCAAGAAAGUUCAAAAAGGUUUAUACUUUUGAUAAAAGAUUGCGAAAAGAUUUUGUUUUUGAAACAUCACCAAUUCACCCC
rnacentral:lncRNA from 1 species